GAUGGUAUAGCUCAGUGGUACAGCAGGUGCCUAUCAAGCACGAGGUCCUGGGUUCAAUCCCCAGUGCCUCCA
rnacentral:tRNA from 1 species